GGCUUAGUAGCAUAGUGGUAACGCGCUCCAUGGAACUGCAGCAUUUACAUAUUGGUUGACGGAAAGUCCGGAGUUCAAUUCUCUGUCGAGCCA